rnacentral:tRNA from 1 species
UACAGAGUGCCUGAAUUAAAGGAUAAUUUUGAUAGAAUUAAUCAUGUGUGCACCUCACCUCUGUAAUUCAA